rnacentral:rRNA from 1 species
UACGUAGGGGGCAAGCGUUGUCCGGAAUCAUUGGGCGUAAAGCGCGUGUAGGCGGCUCGGUAAGUCUGCUGUGAAAGUCCAGGGCUCAACCCUGGGAUGCCGGUGGAUACUGUCGAGCUCGAGUCCGGAAGAGGCGAGUGGAAUUCCUGGUGUAGCGGUGAAAUGCGCAGAUAUCCGAAAGAACACCAGUGGCGAAGGCGGCCUGCUGGGCAUUUGCUGACACUGAAUCACGACAGCGUGGGGAGCAAACAGG